rnacentral:rRNA from 1 species
UACAGAGGAAGCAAGCGUUAUCCGGAAUGAUUGGGCGUAAAGAGCUCGUAGGCGGUCUGUCGCGUCUGCUGUGAAAACUCGGGGCUUAACCCCGGGCCUGCAGUGGGUACGGGCAGACUAGAGUGCGGUAGGGGAGACUGGAAUUCCUGGUGUAGCGGUGAAAUGCGCAGAUAUCAGGAGGAACACCGAUGGCGAAGGCAGGUCACUGGGCCGCAACUGACGCUGAGGGGCGAAAGCAUGGGGAGCGAACAGG